GAAUCUUGGACAAUGGGCGCAAGCCUGAUCCAGCCAUGCCGCGUGAGUGAUGACGGCCUUAGGGUUGUAAAGCUCUUUCACCGGUGAAGAUAAUGACGGUAACCGGAGAAGAAGCCCCGGCUAACUUCGUGCCAGCAGCCGCGGUAAUACGAAGGGGGCUAGCGUUGUUCGGAAUAACUGGGCGUAAAGCGCACGUAGGCGGAUUGUUAAGUCAGAGGUGAAAUCCCGGGGCUCAACCCCGGAACUGCCUUUGAUACUGGCAAUCUCGAGUCCGAGAGAGGUGAGUGGAAUUCCGAGUGUAGAGGUGAAAUUCGUAGAUAUUCGGAGGAACACCAGUGGCGAAGGCGGCUCACUGGCUCGGUACUGACGCUGAGGUGCGAAAGCGUGGGGAGCAAACAGG
rnacentral:rRNA from 1 species